GGCUCUUGAGCCAUCUCAGUGAUGUUGAGGAUGCUGAGGAAGAGUAGUCCCAAAUCAGGUUUUUUUGUCUGAAACCAGUGAGCAGGUUGACGCCGGUGAGAAGUCACACCAUCAAACUCCCUGACGCAGAGCUGUGCUUUACCAUUAGCCAGACCAGGCAACUGCCUGGGGCAAGGCCACUAGGGGGCUCUCUUAUUUAUCCAUUUUUACAUUUGGCACUUGUCCCUUGUAUUCUUGCACUCUCGUACGCUGCUGUGACAAGUAAAUUUCCCUGUUGUGGAAUAAAGUUCUAUCAAUCAA